rnacentral:rRNA from 1 species
UACGUAGGGGGCAAGCGUUGUUCGGAAUUACUGGGCGUAAAGGGCGCGUAGGCGGCACGGCAAGUCAGGCGUGAAAGGCCUGGGCUCAACCGAGGAACUGCUUUUGAGACUGCCGAGCUAGAGUGCGGAAGGGGCAACCGGAAUUCCCAGUGUAGCGGUGAAAUGCGUAGAUAUUGGGAAGAACACCUGAGGCGAAGGCGGGUUGCUGGGCCGACACUGACGCUGAGGCGCGAAAGCCAGGGGAGCAAACGGG